rnacentral:rRNA from 1 species
AUGAGUAUCAUUUGCUGGAACUGUCGAGGUUUGGGGUCGGACUCGAUAGUUGGCGAGCUUCACUGGCUUGUGAAGCUCUACCGACCCUCCCUCCUCUUUCUAUCGGAGACCAAAGAUAGGGACUCAAGAGUGAGGAAUUUUAUGUGGUCUCUGGGUUUCAAGGGUUGCUUUGCAAUUAGUUCCGAGGGCCUCAGUGGGGGGCUGGCCUUGUUUUGGUCAUCUACUGUUGAUGUUUCAGUCAAAGCUUUUAACAAGCGAUGCAUCGACACCCAUGUGAAGCUGGAUGAUGGUGAGGUUUGGUGUGCGACCUUCGUAUAUGGGGAACCCAAACGUGAAGAUAGACAUUUGUUCUGGGAUUUUCUUCGUUGCUUGCAGCCUGUUUGGGAGGGCCCGUGGAUAUGUUGUGGGGAUUUUAAUGAAGUUCUCUCACAUGAUGAACAUUGUGGGCCUAGGGAUCGCUCUGGACCUCAGGUGUCGGCCUUUAUAGAUUGCCUAAUGGACUGUGGUUUAGGUGAGUUGGGCUUCUCAGGCCCCAAAUUUACAUGGUGUAACAAGCAGGAUUCGAACUGCCAUGUCAAAUGCCAUCUUGACCGGGCUGUGGCAAAUGGAGCUUUCACUAGUUUUUUUGAUCUAUGUGGAGUGGAGAAUCUAAUAGCCACUACCUCUAAUCACUCCCCCAUACUUAUUUCCCUGGGCUUUAAUUAUCUUCAAAGCCACCCUAUACCAGUCCAACAAGGUUUCAAGUUCGAAGCUAUGUGGCUACGCGCGGAGAAUUACAAAUAA